rnacentral:rRNA from 1 species
GACGAACGCUGGCGGCGUGCUUAACACAUGCAAGUCGAGCGGUAAGGCCCUUUCGGGGGGUACACGAGCGGCGAACGGGUGAGUAACACGUGGGUGACCUGCCCUCAGCUCUGGGAUAAGCCUGGGAAAACCGGGUCUAAUACUGGAUAUGACUCCAUGACGCAUGUUGUGGGGUGGAAAGCCUUGUGCGGCUGAGGAUGGGCCCGCGGCCUAUCAGCUUGUUGGUGGGGUGANGGCCUACCAAGGCGACGACGGGUAGCCGGCCUGAGAGGGCGACCGGCCACA